CGUCCUGCAUCAACGGCGCGACGAGGAAUCAUAGGACAGAUGGGAGAGAUGAGGAGAUGGGAGGAGGAAGGAAGGAACGGGGAGGGACUCACCGACGCGGUGGCGCUCGCCGGAGGCUGGCUGGCGGCGGGGUCAGACGAAAACGGCGGCACGCGUGUGGCACCCUCCCCGGCGGCACGAGCAGGAAGGAGGAGGUGCACAGGAGGCGUAGGUGCUACGGUGAGAUGGGCUUCAGAUGUGCAGCCGGCCCUAGCGCUGCAACUUCUGCAUCAGAGAAGGUGGAAGAUAAUCUGUUCAAUCUUUUCAAAGGUACAUUGGUGAAAUGCAGCAACCAGAUAAAAGAAAUGCAUUACUCCAUCACCACACUGAUGCUCCAUCUCCCUCUGAUGGCAAGUGCGACCCUGAUGAAGCUGCUCCCCUACAUCAAGGACUACCCCAACAGUGCGGCCUUGAUGGCACAACUCCCAUACACCAAGGACUAGCCCCAUGGUGCGGCCACGACAUCACUGCUCCCCUACACCGCCGACUACAACCUGAGAUCUUAGAACAGGUUUGCAGGUUCAUUGGAACAAAUGUUCAAAAGGAAGAUGCACAGUAAGAAUUACAGUAAGAAGUUCAACUACGAGCCCAGACAUGAGGUAUUUUAACCGCCAACAGAGGGUGUGUUGCGCUAAAAAUUAGUAAUCUUCGCUCCAAAUUCUUAGGUCACUGGCCCAGGUUAGUGCCCAUUGUCAUUGUGCAUCUCUGUUAACUAUUUUAGAACUAGCACAAAUCUGAGUAGGGCUGGAACAAAAUGAACACCCAGGGUUCGAGUACCUCUACUAUGAUAUAAUUAUCUUCCAAACAGGUGUCAUUUCCUUAUCAAGAUGGUUCUCGUGAUUUAGGAAAACUAACAACACCUCAAUGGUCUUCGCACUAGAUUAGCUGUAGGAUCCAUUUUCUGGAGCAUUUUGAUUUUGGUGGACUAUUUAGAUACUUCCAUACAUACACUUCACUGAAGGUUAUUUUGACGGAACGUUAGCUUGGAAGCUUUUCCAUACUUUUUGUAACUAUCCUUCAGCAAAACUAGAUGCAGUUUGUGUUGUGAUGAAAUUAAGAUUGCUCACAAUAUUUUGCAGGAUAAAAUUAAUUACAAUGUAAGUUCUUUGGUGUGUGAUCCAUUACAAUACAGGAAGUUUGUGGUUUAUGCCAUAAAAUUUCAGUUAAUAUUUGGUACAUGAAGUGAUCUAAGUCUGCCACACUGUUUGCAUUUGUAGCUUGCUUUGUUUAAUAAAUAGAUUGAUCUUAUUUUCUAUAAACUUUUUUAUUUAACCUACUAACUUCAAAUACAUUAUAUUUGAUCCUUCAAGGGGCAAAAUAGUUCAGCUCUUUGUUUUACAAGUUUCAGGAUUGAAGGGGGAGAUGCUACAACAGUACAACUACAAGUUCCCUUGCUUCUUUGUAAGGGAACCAAUCAACUAACUUAAUGAGAUUGAUGCACGAGAGCUUCUAGAUGUUCUUCUCGAUCUUGAAUAUUCAUUUUAUCCAACUAUGCAACAUUUGCUUGUGUAUAAGUUUGAUAAGGCCAGGGGCAAGAACAAAGUGGUUGAUUCAUUGAAUGAAGUAUGCGUUAUGUACAGUCCUCCAGAAUUCAGAAAUUGAUCUAUAAUUCUGUGAAGAGAAGGUUUUCAAACCCAAAGGAGCAUUGGCAACCUUAGGGACUUGGGCGCCAACGUGUAGUCCCAGCAGAAGUUGCUCACCCGGAAGGUGGUCUUCUCCAAGGCCUCCCUAGCCUUUGAACAAGACCGCUCCAUCAAGGGUAAACCAUUGAGUGGCAAUGAUACAUGUGUGUCCAUACGACAUAGUGAUUAGCAGCAUGAGGUGCUGAGCACAUCGCGUGUGUGUCUGUAUGUGUGCGAUGCGGUUCAUGAGGAACAAACUGAUUAAGCAUGCUCCAAAGCUACGAGCGACUGAACUAGGUUGAAACCAAGAGGGCAUUGUAAACUUUGAUGACACUUUGUGGGAAACCAAUUACUUCAUGGCCAGAGGUGAUUUUGGAAUGGAGAUUUCAGUUGAGAAGAUAUCCCUUGCACAGAAAAUGAUGAUCUACAAGUGCAACCUUGCUGGUGAGCCUGUUGUCACAGCGAUUGUAGGCAACAUCCAUUCCAAUUGUCCAUUGGUUUAACUGCAGUUUUUUAUGUACAAUUUAUAGGCCGGACUGAUUUUUUUUACUUGCCCUGAUGAAGCUGUAGACUAUACACAUAAGUUGCUGAUUUUGCAUGCUAUACUUGUGUAAAUGUUGUUCCACCUUCCCACUUUGUAAUUUCAUGGCCAUUUCAGAUGAUCUAGACAUUUAAUGUAUGGAAUUUACAUUGGCACUAAAUAAGGAAUAUUGAAAGAUAGUAUGCCACAAUAUCUGUUAUGAGCUUUUCAGAAAGUUGUAAAG